rnacentral:rRNA from 1 species
UACGUAGGUGGCAAGCGUUGUCCGGAUUUAUUGGGUUUAAAGGGUGCGUAGGCGGCUUUGUAAGUCAGUGGUGAAAUACGGUAGCUCAACUAUCGAGGUGCCAUUGAUACUGCGGAGCUUGAGUACAGAUGAGGUAGGCGGAAUUGACGGUGUAGCGGUGAAAUGCUUAGAUAUGACAUAGAACACCAAUUGCGAAGGCAGCUUACUACGGGGUCAUUGACACUGAGGCACGAAAGCGUGGGGAUCAAACAGG